GCUCCGUAGGUGAACCUGCGGAGGGAUCAUUACAGAGUCCAUGCCCUACCGGGUAGAUCUCCCACCCUAUGUUAUUAUUACUUUGUUGCUUUGGCGGGCCGUUAGGCUCCGGCCCGACUACCGGCCCCGGCUGGUAAGCGCCCGCCAGAGGACCCAAAACCCUGAAUAUUAGUGUCGUCUGAGUACUAUAUAAUAGUUAAAACUUUCAACAACGGAUCUCUUGGUUCUGGCAUCGAUGAAGACGCAGC
rnacentral:misc_RNA from 1 species